rnacentral:lncRNA from 1 species
UUGUCCAGGCUUAUGGGAUUCACUAUAAUCUUAAAAAAAUAAUAAGAUACAGCAUAUAAUGAAUUGAAAAGCCUAUUUUAUUAAAUAACAAUGUCAAUUAUAUGAGUUUGAAGUAAAUAAUAGAAAAAUAUCCCAUCGCAUCGCAUAUGCGAUUGACUUGUCGGGCAUUAUUCUUUCAGAGACUACCAUAAAAUGUUAUAUACAU